UACACACGCACUGUUUUACGCAGUAUUAUUAUUUAAUGUUUAACAAUUCUGUAGCGUCAGCGUAUGAUUUACGAGGCCGUAAUACGUCAUGGCGAAAAACGUAACAUUUAAUAAAUUUGUGUUAAUAUGUAAAAAGCAUUUUAAUGUGUCAGUCGGUUCAUGACUGGGCCAAAAAGGACGUCUGAUGGAGUGUGCAAUUAUCAUUUUUUUUUUAAGAAAACAUAACCGUUGACUAACGCCAUAAAACUAUAUUAUUUCUAAAUACGUAUAGGUAGACAUAUAUAUGUAUAUUCUUAAAUCAGUGAAAUUUAUUCAAGGAUAUAAUAAGAUUUGUUAAUGUUAUAUUAUUAAAGGUAAAAUUAAACGAGAUACAUUCGACUAAGAAUUUCAGUCAGGUUAAAUAAUUAGCAUUUGACAAUAACUUUAGAAUUAAUCACGUGAAGUUAUGGAUAAUCUUUAUUUUGAAAAACAAGGGAUUUAUAAACCAAAAUCAUUUUUAUCAAUUUAAAUUUUAAAUAAUGUUUUAUGAAUAUGUUUAUUAUUGAUAUUUAAUAAACCUAUAUUGUAGGAUAUCUAUACGAAGUAAAAAAAUAUCUAGUUGGUAGCAAUUCGAUUAAUCACUGGUAGUAUUAUUGUCGCUCGAACUGUAUAUGUUUCAAAAUAAAUGUAAGACUAUCCGCGGGUUACGGAGACAGAAAAUUUGAAAAUCUAAAGUGACUCGAUCUAAUUUCAAGACUGAAACUCGAGAUCAAAAAUCGAAAUACCAUGAAGAAAUACUGUGGAUGCGAGGAAUUUCUUUUUUGAUCCGAUCAUGAACCACGUGCUUAUAAAUUCCGCAGCCAUGUCAAACGAGCUUUACGUAAUCGCUGCUACAUGAACUCAGUCGACGACAAUGUUGACGUUGAAUGACGAUAUUUGGUGGUAUGGAGAAGAUGAUGAGUGGGCCGUGAAAAAUAUAAAACAUAACAGUACAAUAAGAAAUUGCGGUGUACACACUUGGGAAUUCAGCUGUACCGUGGCGGGGGACGAUAGGAAUUUCGCUGCAAGACACGAGAGACGGACACCAUGAAACGUGUUGUGUUUCUAAUGAUUCCACGGUGAUUUUUUUUUUUAUCAUGUAUUCCGUACGAUCGUGACGAGAAUAUUAUGCUGUAAAUAGUUUAUGCGCCGCGUAGACGAAAACGGGUCUACUGCAGUUUAAUAUAAAUAUAAAUAUAUAUAUAUAUAUUUAUAUAAUACAGACACAGCAGUAAUAUAUUAAAUCUUUAUGUGAUACAACGACUUGCGCGACCAGCAUCGUUGUCGAAGAGGCUGCCUUGACUUAUAUAUAAUAUACAUCAACGAGACACACGUGACCCGUAUGUGUGUGUACACGUACAUCCGAAUCGUAUCAAACCGCUUCUCCUUAUACAAAAAAUAAAAAUAAUACUCGUCAUUUCAACCGUAUCUAUCGUAUAUAUUCCGCGAUAUAUACCUAUAACUGCGUGCGAUUUUAAUUACUCGCGUUCCAAGUACGCUGCAACUUGCAGUGGUCGGAAUAUUUUAAGUCGAGCUGUGUCAGUGUCACGAUUCCAUGUCCCGGCUUACGCAUUGCAUAUGGUAAUAUAUUAUAUGAUAAAUGAUUGUGUGCGUGUGUGCAAUAUGUAUACUGUCUAUAUUAUAUAUCGACCAAAAUACAUUCGUUGUCUACAUCUGUUUAAUAAAAUACUUAAUAUACAUACCUAAUAUAAAUUAUAGCCUUAUAAUAUUAUGUCUUUAACGCAGUCGAUUCAUCUAGGCGAGGUCGACAACACGCAUCGCAUCGGGUGACACAACGAGUUCACAUAGUGACUGCAUUAAAGUCUCUCAUACAUUUUAUCAAAUGUAAAAACUAGUCUUAUUUUAUUAUCAUUCAUUAUU